UAUAUAAUUUUGUAUAAUUCUAUUGAAAAUGUUUACCAAAAAACUUCCGGAAUUUCUACGAAUUUUCUCAUAAUUUUUUUACGAUGUUAAUCUUCGGUCAAUUUUCAAGUUGCUGUUUCCAAGUGAAUUUCCGGCAUGUUUAUAAAUAUAGUAAAAAACUGUGGUUGCAUCGUUCAAAGUCCAGUGUCUCGAUGUAUUCGAGACGAUUCCAAUUCGAAAGUGAAACCUUACUCUGUAAUCAAUGAUGCGUCCUGUGCAGGUGAAAUUUUGAUAUUUAAUUGUAUGUUCAAUUGAAUGUCACAGAAUGUUUAUCGAUCAGAUAAUAUAUAAAUCUAUAAAUCUUGUUUGAAAUUAGGUUAUAUAUCAGAUGUUUGAGUACCCGAGAAUAUUUAAGUUCCAAAGUUUCUUUGUUCCUUACGCAAUCCAGGAAACAAGAUAUUCGCGAGUUGUGUAAGUUUUCAGUGAUAAAUACGUUAAUUUAUAAAUUAUACUUUCUCCAUGCGCGAGUAAGUAAAUUUAAAAAAAAAAGGAUUGUCAAUAAGAGAUUCGUAGAGGAGAUAUACAAAGGAAGAAUGUACACGUGCUCGUCUUCAUCACAGCAACUCAUGUGAAAGUGGCCUUGUCAAGUAAACGUAGAUCAUGACGAUGCUUUUCGCCUCUUCGCAUUCUAUGUAGUAUACGAGAGUUGAUCAAUGAUUAAAAAGUACUCCAAUAUUCAGCUUUCGAAAGAAGCACUUGAUUUGCUUGCAUCAAGAAUAAAAUUGCGGUAGAAAAAUAUAAGACUAGUCAUAUUUAUAAUUCGAUGCAUGUACUAGUUAGCACUAAUGUACUAGUUUGCGUUUAAGAAUGCGUAAUUAAAUGAAUUGACGUCACCUUUAAAUUAAAAUAAUGUGAUUAAAAUAUGAAACUUUAUCAAUGAGAAUUAUUAGUUUUAUUAUAUAUCAUAUACGGGUUUUUUUUUUUACGUUAUAUAUAAUAUAUAAUAAAAAUUGCAAAUUUUGUACCAUUAUCAUUAUUGUGACAAAUAAGCGAUAUGUAUGUUAUAUUUUUAAUGCUUAUUCAUAUUAUUCAUAUAAUUAUCGAGAUAACGAGAACGAUAAUAAAUGAACUUUGCUAGAAAAUGUAAAAUAAAAGAAACAUUAAACAUUAAACAUAUCGUUCUUAACAAAGUUCAAAUUUUUCUUAAACCACAUUGUAAAUCUUAUGAUGAAAAUAUCGGUAAAUUGCAAUUACUAUAAAAACCCAACGAUAUAAACGAUUUACUUUCUAUUGGGUAAUAUAUGUGAUCGUAUAUGUCCCCGUGUCACGCCAUACAUAAAGAAUGAAUAACUUUCGAUAGUUUGAUUUAUUAUUAAUAAAUUAUGAGCGCAAAAAUAUGAUUCAUAUAUAUAUUGUAUAUAUAUGAUUCACUAUAUAAAUUGUAUUAAAAAUA